rnacentral:rRNA from 1 species
AACGAACGCUGGCGGCAGGCCUAACACAUGCAAGUCGAACGCCCUAGCAAUAGGGAGUGGCAGACGGGUGAGUAACGCGUGGGAACGUACCCUUCGGUUCGGAAUAACCCAGGGAAACUUGGACUAAUACCGGAUACGUGCGAGAGCAGAAAGAUUUAUCGCCGAAGGAUCGGCCCGCGUCCGAUUAGCUAGUUGGUGAGGUAAUGGCUCACCAAGGCGACGAUCGGUAGCUGGUCGAGAGGAUGAUCAGCCACAC